AUUGAACGCUGGCGGCAGGCCUAACACAUGCAAGUCGAACGCGUGGCGGACGGGUGUGUAAUGUCUGGGAACCUGCUCGAUGGCGGGGGAUAACUACUGGAAACGGUAGCUAUUACCGCAUACCAUCCGAUGUUCCCAGAUGGGAUUAGCUAGUUGGUGGGGUAACGGCUCACCAAGGCCACGAUCGCUAGCUGGUCUGAGAGGUUGACCGGCCACACUGGAACUGAGACACGGUCCAGACUCCUACGGGAGGCAGCAGUGGGGAAUAUUGCACAAUGGGCGCAAGCCUGAUGCAGCCAUGCCGCGUGUAUGAAGAAGGCCUUCGGGUUGUAAAGUACUUUCAGCGGGGAGGCGUUACCCGCAGAAGAAGCACCGGCUAACUCCGUGCCAGCAGCCGCGGUAAUAC
rnacentral:rRNA from 1 species